rnacentral:rRNA from 1 species
UCCCUUAGUAGCGGCGAGCGAACAGGGAAGAGCCCAGCGCCGAAUUCCGCGUCUCAAAGGGCGUUUGGAACAUGUGGCGUUUAGGAGGAAUCUCUCCGAGGGCAGACGGUGUCGCAAGUCCCCCUGAACGGGGCUGUGAUCCAGAGCGGGUGCGAGGCCCAUAGCUGGUACCGUCUCCUUCGGGUGUCCCCUCCUUGGAGUCGGGUUGCUUGGGAGUGCAGCCCUAAUUGGGUGGUAAACUCCACCUAAGGCUAAAUACGUCCGUGAGACCGAUAGCAAACAAGUACCGUGAGGGAAAGUUGCAAAGAACUUUGAAGAGAGAGUUCAAGAGUACGUGAAACCGCUCAGAGGCAAACGGGUGGGCCCACGAAAGCCGAAGGCGGGGGGAUUCAGUCGAGAGGACGGUGGGGCAGGACUGGCUGGUUGGACGGACCGUGCCAGGCCGGGUCAGUUCCCGAGAUCUGCCGCCUUUCGACGCAUUUCCCCCUGCUUAGUAGGACGCCGCAACCGGUUGGCGCUGCAGCCAUAAGGGAGAGUAAAUGGAAGGUAGCCAGUGAGUUCUUCUUCGGAGGCGCGAGCUGGUCCUAAGCCGACUCUCCUGGUGCUUGUGGCCCGACCGUGGUCGUGAGUCCCUCAACGGGAUGUCGCCGAGCCCUCUGACUGGAGCUGGAGAAACGGCAGGCUGCUUUCCGCGGAAAAAAUCGAUCGCUUCACGCGUGCAGUGGGCGAUCUCCGGAGGUAGCUGCUGGUGCGUUUUUCUCCUGCGCUGGGCACAGGCAGUUGGCGGCGAGUAGGUCGGUCACCCACCCGACCCGUCUUGAAACACGGACCAAGGAGUCUAACAUGUGCGCGAGUCAUUGGGUCUUGAACAAGCCCAAAGGCGCAAUGAAAGUGAAGACCAGCACUGAAGCUGGUGGAGUUGGGAAACUGUGUCACUGAAGAUGCAGUUGCACCAACGGCCCGUCCCGUCCGCAUCGUCGGUGGGGCGGAGCGAGAGCGUACACGUUGGGACCCGAAAGAUGGUGAACUAUGCCUGGGCAGGACGAAGCCAGAGGAAACUCUGGUGGAGGUCCG